rnacentral:tRNA from 1 species
AAGUCUUUAAGUUAAAAAAACUACAUGCCUUCAAAGCAUGAAAUAAUCUUUGUAUUAAGUCUUA